GGCUUCGUAGCUCAGCUGGUAGAGCAUGCGCGUACAAAGCGUAGGCGGUGUCCAUGCGUGGGUUCGAAUCCCACCGAAGCUA
rfam:Echinostoma caproni strain Egypt genome assembly, scaffold: ECPE_scaffold0000520